rnacentral:tRNA from 1 species
GGAGAUGUAGCUCAGUAGUAGAGCAUUUUCCUAGCAUGUGCAUGGGUUGUGGGUUCAAUCCCCACCCCCACCC